GAAAACAAUUCUUCAGCUCAUGCUGCUUUAACUUCCCCUUGUAUCUUGCAGAUAUGCUCUGCUAGAGCUGGAGAGGCGAGUCAUCUUCCCCUGCCUGGUUCCUUCCCCAACGAUCUCUGCAACAUUGACUCAGUGUUAUCAUAUAGAGGGAAAGGGGGCACCUGAACAGACAUUACCUUCUGCAACAAGUGCCCAUGAAGGAGCACCCCCAGACCAACAGCAAGCCUGUACUGUUAAGCGGACAGCUUCCCUGUCUCAGGACCACAUAUCAGCAGCUAAGCAAAAUCAUUGUUAAAGCUCAUUUUUGAACCAGAAGAAGUGGCACCAGAGGUAAGAUCAAAGCCACCAAAACUCCACAAAUCCUGCAAUACAGCUGAUGCAAGGAGCACCCAAUGCAAUACACAGCUGCACCUCCCCCCUAUUCCUUGAGCAGAUCAGAAGAGCAGAAAACGAGAACAUUCCCAAGCUGGGAGCAAGCAGGAAACAGUGAGCUUCCCAAUGCCAAG
rnacentral:lncRNA from 1 species